rnacentral:lncRNA from 1 species
CUCCCCAUGAUGUCCUUAGUUCUGAUGACUCAGAACAAGGCAACAUCUCAGCCUCCAUCUCGAGUUUCUCAGAGAAUCUGAUCAGUCAGAUUUCGGACAUCUGCCCCACACUGGCUCAAACCACUCCAAUGGAGGUUGGGCCUGGAGCAUAUCUUGAGUUCUGGGACUGUCCCCCCAGGCAUGGGGCACUUCUCAGAGCUUUUUGGCUCUGCUCUCUGGAGAGUCCUUCCUCUCCGUUGCCUUACUUGGUCUCACCUGAGUACUGAGCUACACAGCUUUCCCAGCCUGUGUCCUGCCCUGAAUUAGAGCUGGUGCCUUGGGAUUUUUCAACUGGGCUCUUGGUUUCUUUGCACUGCUCACAACUCUUGAAACCAUUAGGCCCCUCUGUCUGCUUCCAGAUAUUUCUAUGAGCAACCAACCAUGUUUAGAGUUCUCCUUGAGGGAUGAUUGUAUUUCUCAAUGUGCUUUGUCCCUUUGUUUGCUUGUCACGGAAACAACUUCUUUUUCUUCUUCCCCUCUGUUGGGUGUGUGGGAGACUCCCCGCUGAAAUUAAGUUUCUGUCUUGUGAGAACAUCACGGGUAAUCCCUUACACCUCCCCCUCCUCUCCAAAGGGCUCCAGAUUCAAAAGUUUUCUCGACCAAUCCCCACGGAACACAGUGUCCUGAGUCACCCUGCCAAUCAGCACCUGCUAUGUGGCCUAUGCAACCCUUCUUAAACCGAAGCUUGCAAGCUCACUCUUUCUGCCCUCCUCCUCUCCUCUCUCUGCUCUCUGCCUCUGCUUUUCUUCCCCCUUGGGCAGCCCCCCAAUAAAAUCCCUUGGUUGAAUCUCUGUCUCGGGUGAGUCACUCGCCUUUCACCC